rnacentral:lncRNA from 1 species
GUACUUCUCAAAUAUUCAUCCAGCUACCUGUAUUUUAAAAUUUUUGUACUGCUUUAGGUUAUUCACAAGAGUUCAAAUGGAAAAACUUUCAACAAUAUUUAAUACAAUUGUUUUAAUAUGCUUUCAUUUUUAUAUCAACUAAAAUUGGUAGCAUUGUACUUAAUGCAUUCAAUGUUUAUUUUAUAGUUUUUGGCAUGGAAAAAUCUAUUUCUUUAUAUUAAAUUUCACUGAUACUUAGAAUGCCUUUCAGUACCUGUAGUCCCAGCUUUUGGGACUCUGACAAAAAACUUCCUGUAAGAUCCAGGACAGGCUGGCUACACUGUAAGGCACUGUCUUAAAACAGAUGUUUUAGUUAUUCACUUAUAACCAGAAGUCCAUUUUAAAGCAGAUUGCAAUAAAAUAGGAUUUUAAGAUUACUAAUUUAUGAGCCUGCUCUAUAACAGAAACUAUUACAGAGCUGCGAAUUGCAAAUGGAAUAAACGGCAGGCAUUCUUUCUUUUAUGUGGCUGUUAAUCUAGAGAUACUGUAAUGUGUGAUAUAAGAAAUGAAAAUGGAAUGAGAGGCAGAAUUGAGGACAAACUGGUUUGGGUCAGGAAAAGUAUUAAAAUUCAGUGAUGGGAAGAAUGGAUGGAGAUGUGGCUCCACUAAGGAGUUUGGGGGGAUUCCAUUGAAAGUACAAUAAAACAGACAUUCUUGAUCAGAGAAUCAUCAUAGUUGAAAAUGAAUUGUUUGGAUUUUAGCUUUUAGCAACUUUAAACUGACCAUGAUGUUUUAUCUGACAAAAUGCAAUCAAGGCAAACACAAACAGACAGUAAUUACAAAAGAGGGAAAAUAUGUUAGUGGUUAUAUUCUCCUAACACUCGUGGGUCUGUUAUUCUAUAGUGGGGGUCCAUAGAAAAUCAAGGGAUAGUAGUGGUGAUAUAAGAGGUGGGAGGAUUUGAAGAUUUUUCUAUCCGACAGAAUGUAAGUUAAUAAUUAGAAUAAUUUAUUUGGAAUACUUAGAAAAAAUAUGUUUCAUAAUUCAAUGCACAGAAGAUUAAAGGUAAGUUAAUACGAGUCUUUUGCAUGAAACAUAUCCAGUGAGGACAGGAGAAAGAUCAGAAAAGAUAAUUCUUUGUGCAUCUAGGUUUUCACAUUGUUAAUCACAAGAGAUAAAUUAACAUCAUGAAGUGACCUAAAGGUAAGAGCAUCUUUUUUUAUUACCAGAUGACUUCUUACCAAUGUGCUUAUGAAAAUGGCAUAGAAUCUUUUAGAAUACUCUUCAACAUUACACUAUAAGAUAAUCAUUACCCUUUUAAUUUUAUCCAUCUAACUCUUUCCAUCUAUCUCACUGUUCUCAUUUAAAUUUAUGAUCUCCUUUUGUAUAAUUGUGAUCACAUAUGUAUGAUAUAAAUUAUAUGUAAUUUCGCAAAAUAUUACCUAGUAUAUAUACAUUCUAGUAUACAUAUUCUCCCUGUUUAAAGCUGCUCUCCUGAUCUCAGCUCUCCAGCUUCAGCAUUUUUUCAGUUGUGUCUAGUACCUUUUCCAGAUUUGGGGGUUCAUGAAUGUUUCUCUUCCACACUAGCAUGUCUGGUGUUAUUGUCCUUGCUCAGAUCAUGUUUUGGCAGCCAUGUUGGUUAGUCAUCAUGGGUGUUCUUUCUCUGACAUUUCUAAGAGACAUAAACUCACAGUCAAGUCCCACUUCUCUCAGAAGUUUUCGGCCCCCAAUUUUGUAUAUUAUUCUUAACCCUGACCUGCAGGUGUUGUGUUGUAGGUGUGUCAUUUGGGACUCUAUCUACAACUGCAUAUUUUGCUUAGUUGUUGUUUUUUUCUGAAAUAGUCCCCUUCUGUUGCUAAGGAAAGUUUCUUUGAUGAAAGGUGAGAACUAAACUUACCUGUGCGUAUAAAACAAAAUAUAGAGUGGUGUUAGUCUCUAUUCUGCAGAUGAGCACUGGCUAAUGCAAAUGAUGACUAAAAUCCAUCAAUGAACUGGGAAUAGCAAUGUGAUGUGUGUAUGUUUAACCUCAGACAUAUUUGGUAGCUGUGAAUAAGACCAAUAAAAAUAAUACAGCUCACAAAAAAUGCAAUUAGGAAUUAUAAUGAUUUAGCAAUUUGUGGUUAUAGAUUUACCACUGAGAUCCAUAGCAUCAGUAGCCUUGGUAGUUUGAUUGGUUUCCUGUAUCAAGAAUGAUUUUCUUGCUGUUGAGCAGCCCUGAGAAAGAGAACUAUGAGAUGUUGAUCUCCUUAAAGUUAUGCAUCCCAUUAUUUUCUUUUUAAUUUAGGCUUAUUGUGCCACACUGGUCACAAUUGUGGUUUUUUUGUUAGUUAGUUAACCACCACAUUCUAGUACCUGGUCCCCAUUGGCUUGUUCAUACAUAUGAGUCUAUGCAAGCCUUACCUAGACAUAACAUAAUGCAAAGUACAUUUAGUCCAAAUGUGUUAGAUUCUCUGUGAAUUUUGUCCAAAUAUCAUUGUAUCUUCAGGAUGAGAAACUUAGCUUCUACCAUUGGAGGUCAUAGCCUAUAAUGUUUUAUGAAUCACUUGAAGAGUCCUGAAGAAAAACUCAAAGGAGGCAGACUCAUGCUUACUAUUGAUUUUUUUCUAUUUUAGAUAACCUAUUGCUUUUGAGGGAGGAGGCAUUGUUGGUCUUCAUAAACAAUUUACUUUUAAUGAUUUUUAUAUUUUUAAAUUCCAGCUUUAUAUAUAUAUAUAUAUAUAUAUAUAUAUAUAUAUAUAUAUCAAUGAUUCCUAGAUCCUACAUCAAGGGGGAAUGGAAAAUAAAUACUGGACAUCCAUGAAGUAAACUUGCUACUAGACCAUAUGGAAUGACACAGCUUCACACAAAGUGAAAUUCUCGCCUCAAAAGUUAACCUAGAAGAUAUAGAAAGAGAGUUCCUCACUGUCACUCCAUGUCUCUAUGUGCAUGUGCCCAUGCUGGCACAUAUGGAAACAUGAAAUUAUUCAUGGACACUACAUACCUAUAUUAGCAAUAAUAC